AUCCAGCUGACGAGUCCUAAAAAGGACGAAAUACGCAUCCUGGAU
rnacentral:hammerhead_ribozyme from 1 species